UACGUAGGUGGCAAGCGUUGUCCGGAAUCACUGGGCGUAAAGCGCGCGCAGGCGGCGAUCUACGUCUGGGGUGAAAGCCCGGAGCUCAACUCCGGGACUGCCUUGGAUACGGGAUUGCUUGAGGAUUGGAGAGGCAAGGGGAAUUCCACGUGUAGCGGUGAAAUGCGUAGAUAUGUGGAGGAACACCUGUGGCGAAGGCGCCUUGCUGGCCAAUUUCUGACGCUGAGGCGCGAAAGCGUGGGGAGCAAACAGG
rnacentral:rRNA from 1 species